GUCGUCCCGGGUCCUUCAGCCCUGGCGGCGAGUUCCGGAACUGCAUCCCCUGCGACUUCGGUUCCUACACCGAGCAGCACGGCUCCCCAUUCUGCCUUUGGUGUCCACCGGGCAAGUCCACCUAUCGGCAGGGAAGCACCUCGUCCGAUGAUUGCGAAGUUUCCUGGGUGAUCUAUGCUUUCCUGUUUGGGAUAGCGACCCUGACAUCGCUGGUCCUAUUUGUAUGGGUGUCACGAGCUUGGUCAUCUGAACAGAGGGUUAGGACUAUCAUCAUGGAGGACAAGCUUUCACGCUUCUUCCAG